rnacentral:rRNA from 1 species
UACGUAGGGUGCAAGCGUUGUCCGGAAUUAUUGGGCGUAAAGAGCUCGUAGGCGGUUUGUCACGUCUGCUGUGAAAACUGGAGGCUCAACCUCCAGCCUGCAGUGGGUACGGGCAGACUAGAGUGCGGUAGGGGAGAUUGGAAUUCCUGGUGUAGCGGUGGAAUGCGCAGAUAUCAGGAGGAACACCGGUGGCGAAGGCGGGUCUCUGGGCCGAUACUGACGCUGGAGGAGCGAAAGCGUGGGGAGCGAACAGG